UACAGAGGUCUCAAGCGUUGUUCGGAUUCAUUGGGCGUAAAGGGUGCGUAGGUGGCGUGGUAAGUCUGGUGUGAAAUCCCGGGGCUCAACCCCGGAACUGCACUGGAUACUGCCAUGCUUGAGUACUGGAGAGGAGAUUGGAAUUUACGGUGUAGCAGUGGAAAUGCGUAGAUAUGUGGAGGAACACCGAUGGCGAAGGCAGCCUCCUGGGCCAUGACUGACGCUCAUGCACGAAAGCGUGGGGAGCAAACAGG
rnacentral:rRNA from 1 species